UGGCUUUGGAAAGCGGCCUGG
rnacentral:piRNA from 1 species